rnacentral:rRNA from 1 species
AACGAACGCUGGCGGCAUGCCUAACACAUGCAAGUCGAACGAGACCUUCGGGUCUAGUGGCGCACGGGUGCGUAACGCGUGGGAACCUGCCCUUAGGUUCGGAAUAACUCCGCGAAAUGUGUGCUAAUACCGGAUAAUGUCUUCGGACCAAAGAUUUAUCGCCUUUGGAUGGGCCCGCGUUGGAUUAGCUAGUUGGUAGGGUAAAAGCCUACCAAGGCGACGAUCCAUAGCUGGUCUGAGAGGAUGAUCAGCCACACUGGGACUGAGACACGGCCCAGACUCCUACGGGAGGCAGCAGUGGGGAAUAUUGGACAAUGGGCGAAAGCCUGAUCCAGCAAUGCCGCGUGAGUGAUGAAGGCCUUAGGGUUGUAAAGCUCUUUUACCCGGGAUGAUAAUGACAGUACCGGGAGAAUAAGCUCCGGCUAACUCCGUG